AGCGUAGGCGGACAUUUAAGUCAGGGGUGAAAUCCCGGGGCUCAACCUCGGAAUUGCCUUUGAUACUGGGUGUCUUGAGUAUGAGAGAGGUGUGUGGAACUCCGAGUGUAGAGGUGAAAUUCGUAGAUAUUCGGAGGAACACCAGUGGCGAAGGCGGCUUACUGGUCCAUUACUGACGCUGAAGUGCGAAAGCGUGGGGAGCAAACA
rnacentral:rRNA from 1 species